rnacentral:rRNA from 1 species
GACGAAGGGGGGCUAGCGUUGUUCGGAAUUACUGGGCGUAAAGCGCGUGUAGGCGGUUGUUCAAGUCAGGGUGUGAAAGCCUUGAGCUCAACUCAAGAAUUGCACUUGAUACUGGAUGACUAGAGGACCGGAGAGGAUAGUGGAAUUCCCAGUGUAGUGGUGAAAUGCGCAGGAUAUCAGGAGGGAACAACCCAAUGGCGAAGGCAGCACUCUGGGACGUGACU